GCCCCCUGCCCCCAUGUCCCUCAUGCUCCUUCGCUGAGCCCUGUGCACCCAGGGGCCUCCCCGUCCGUGGAGCCCUCCCUGCGCCAGCCCGCCCCUUCUCCCCCAGCCCUCCCAGCCUACCUGUCACGGAGAGGCGGGCCCCGUUGCUCUGCCGGGUCUCCCCGCUAUACUUGUGCUUGGUGAUGCAGCGGUAGGUGGACAGCGCGUCCUCCUUCUGCACGUCCGCGAUGUACAGCCCGCCGUGUUUGCAAACCUCUUUCACAUGCAUCGCUGUUUGCUGUGCUGUCUCCAUUUUACAGAAGAGGAAACUGAGACUCAUGGUCUGGCCCCAGACCACACAGCCAGGACGUGGCAGAGCUGGACUGGAAUUCAGCUCUUCCGAUAUCCAACUUUUCUUCUGCCCUGAGCCAAGCAGAAGCCUACAUGCUUCUCUUCCAAAUUAAAUCUCCUAUCAACUCAACGACUAGUUGCUGGGGCUACACUAUGCCACGAGCGGGGACGCGAAGA
rnacentral:lncRNA from 1 species